UACGAAGGGGGCUAGCGUUGUCCGGAAUUAUUGGGCGUAAAGAGCUCGUAGGCGGUCUGUCGCGUCGGAUGUGAAAACCCAGGGCUCAACCCUGGGCCUGCAUUCGAUACGGGCAGACUAGAGUUCGGUAGGGGAGACUGGAAUUCCUGGUGUAGCGGUGAAAUGCGCAGAUAUCAGGAGGAACACCGGUGGCGAAGGCGGGUCUCUGGGCCGAAACUGACGCUGAGGAGCGAAAGCGUGGGGAGCAAACAGG
rnacentral:rRNA from 1 species